GACGAACGCUGGCGGCGUGCUUAACACAUGCAAGUCGAACGGAAAGGCCCUGCGUUUGUGGGGUGCUCGAGAGGCGAACGGGUGAGUAACACGCGAGUAACCCGCCCCUGUCUUUGGGAUAACUUUAGGGAACUGGGGCUAAUACCGGAUAGGAGCUUCUGCUGCAUGGGGGGGGAUGGAAAGUUUCGGCGGUUGGGGAUGGACUCGCUGGUUAUCAGCUGGAUUGUGGAGUAGGGGCUUACCAAGGCUUUGACGGGUAGCCGGCCUGAGAGGGGGGCCGGCCACAUUGGGACUGAGGUACGGCCCAGAAUCCUACGGGAGGCAGCAGUGGGGAAUAUUGCACAAUGGGCGGAAGCCUGAUACAGCAACCCCGCGUGCGGGAUGACGGCCUUCGGGUUGUGAACCGCUUUCGCCUGUGACGAAGCGUGAGUGACGGUAAUGAGUAAAGAAGCACCGGCUAACUACGUG
rnacentral:rRNA from 1 species